UGAGGAAUAUUGCGCAAUGGGCGAAAGCCUGACGCAGUGACACCGCGUGGAGGAUGACGGUCUUCGGAUUGUAAACUUCUGUUAAGUGGGAAGAAAGGCCUCUCUCUAAUACAGAGAGGAUAUGACGGUACCAUUAGAGAAAGCACCGGCUAACUUCGUGCCAGCAGCCGCGGUAAUACGAAGGGUGCAAGCGUUAUUCGGAAUUAUUGGGCGUAAAGCGUGCGUAGAUGGCGUAAUAAGUCAGCCGUUAAAUCCCCUCGGCCUAACUGAGGGUCUGCGGUAGAUACUGUUGCGCUAGAGGUUGGGAGAGAGAAGUGGAAUUCUCGGAGUAGCGGUAAAAUGCGUAGAUCUCGAGAGGAACACCGAUGGCGAAGGCAGCUUCUUGGUCCAUACCUGACAUUGAGGUACGAAAGCGUGGGGAGCAAACAGGAUUAGAUACCCCCGUAGUCC
rnacentral:rRNA from 1 species